rnacentral:rRNA from 1 species
GAUGAACGCUGGCGGCGUGCCUAAUACAUGCAAGUCGAACGCACAGCGAAAGGUGCUUGCACCUUUCAAGUGAGUGGAGAACGGGUGAGUAACACGUGUACAACCUGCCUCAAGGCUGGGGAUAACAUCUGGAAACAGAUGCUAAUACCGAAUAAAACUCAGUGACGCAUGACACAAAUUUAAAAGGCUCUUUGGCGGCAACUAGAGAUGGAUCCGCAGUGCAUUAGUUAGUUGGUGGGGUAAAGGCCUACCAAGACAAUGAUGCACAGCCGAGUUGAGAGACUGAUGGGCCACAUUGGGACUGAGACACGGACCAAACUCAUACGGGAGGCUGCAGUAGGGAAUCUUCCACAAUGGGCGAAAGCCUGAUGGAGCAACACCGCGUGUGUGAUGAAGGCUUUCGGGUCGUAAAGCACUGUUGUAUGGGAAGAACAGCUAGAAUAGGGAAUGAUUUUAGUUUGACGGUACCAUACCAGAAAGGGACGGCUAAAUACGUGCCAGCAGCCGCCGUAA